rnacentral:rRNA from 2 species
UCAGGAUGAACGCCGGCGGUGUGCCUAAUACAUGCAAGUCGAACGCGUUGGCCCAAUUGAUUGAUGGUGCUUGCACCUGAUUGAUUUUGGUCGCCAACGAGUGGCGGACGGGUGAGUAACACGUAGGUAACCUGCCCAGAAGCGGGGGACAACAUUUGGAAACAGAUGCUAAUACCGCAUAACAACGUUGUUCGCAUGAACAACGCUUAAAAGAUGGCUUCUCGCUAUCACUUCUGGAUGGACCUGCGGUGCAUUAGCUUGUUGGUGGGGUAAUGGCCUACCAAGGCGAUGAUGCAUAGCCGAGUUGAGAGACUGAUCGGCCACAAUGGGACUGAGACACGGCCCAUACUCCUACGGGAGGCAGCAGUAGGGAAUCUUCCACAAUGGGCGCAAGCCUGAUGGAGCAACACCGCGUGAGUGAAGAAGGGUUUCGGCUCGUAAAGCUCUGUUGUUAAAGAAGAACACGUAUGAGAGUAACUGUUCAUACGUUGACGGUAUUUAACCAGAAAGUCACGGCUAACUACGUGCCAGCAGCCGCGGUAAUACGUAGGUGGCAAGCGUUAUCCGGAUUUAUUGGGCGUAAAGAGAGUGCAGGCGGUUUUCUAAGUCUGAUGUGAAAGCUUCGGCUUAACCGGAGAAGUGCAUCGGAAA